GAUGAACGCUAGCUACAGGCUUAACACAUGCAAGUCGCGGGGCAGCAUGGGGGUUGCUUGCAAUCCCCGAUGGCGACCGGCGCACGGGUGAGUAACGCGUAUCCAACCUGCCCUUCACCACGGGAUAACCCGGCGAAAGUCGGACUAAUACCGUAUGUUGUCCAUUGACGGCAUCCGAUUUGGACGAAAGGCUUGGCGGUGAGGGAUGGGGAUGCGUCCGAUUAGCCAGACGGCGGGGUAACGGCCCACCGUGGCCACGAUCGGUAGGGGUUCUGAGAGGAAGGUCCCCCACACUGGAACUGAGACACGGUCCAGACUCCUACGGGAGGCAGCAGUGAGGAAUAUUGGUCAAUGGGCGUAAGCCUGAACCAGCCAAGUAGCGUGCAGGAUGACGGCCCUAUGGGUUGUAAACUGCUUUUAUGCGGGGAUAAAGUGGCCCACGUGUGGGCUUUUGCAGGUACCGCAUGAAUAAGGACCGGCUAAUUCCGUG
rnacentral:rRNA from 1 species